rnacentral:rRNA from 1 species
AGUCGGACGGUGACGAGGGGCUUGCCCUUCUGAUCAGUGGCGAACGGGUGAGUAACACGUGAGUAACCUGCCCUUCACUCUGGGAUAACGCUGGGAAACCGGUGCUAAUACUGGAUAUGACCUGCUCGGGCAUCCGAUGUGGGUGGAAAGAUUUAUUGGUGGAGGAUGGACUCGCGGCCUAUCAGCUUGUUGGUGAGGUAAUGGCUCACCAAGGCGACGACGGGUAGCCGGCCUGAGAGGGCGAUCGGCCACACUGGGACUGAGACACGGCCCAGACUCCUACGGGAGGCAGCAGUGGGGAAUAUUGCACAAUGGGCGAAAGCCUGAUGCAGCGACGCCGCGUGAGGGAUGAAGGCCUUCGGGUUGUAAACCUCUUUCAGCAGGGAAGAAGCGUCUGGGUUUUCUUGGGUGUGACGGUACCUGCAGAAGAAGCACCGGCUAACUACGUGCCAGCAGCCGCGGUAAUACGUAGGGUGCAAGCGUUGUCCGGAAUUAUUGGGCGUAAAGAGCUUGUAGGCGGUUUGUCGCGUCUGCUGUGAAAUUUCGGGGCUCAACCCCGAACUUGCAGUGGGUACGGGCAGACUAGAGUGUGGUAGGGGAGACUGGAAUUCCUGGUGUAGCGGUGAAAUGCGCAGAUAUCAGGAGGAACACCGAUGGCGAAGGCAGGUCUCUGGGCCACUACUGACGCUGAGAAGCGAAAGCAUGGGGAGCGAACAGGAUUAGAUACCCUGGUAGAAUCACUAGUGAAUUC